GACGAACGCUGGCGGCGUGCCUAAUACAUGCAAGUCGAACGCUUCUUUCCUCCCGAGUGCUUGCACUCAAUUGGAAAGAGGAGUGGCGGACGGGUGAGUAACACGUGGGUAACCUACCCAUCAGAUGGGGAUAACACUUGGAAACAGGUGCUAAUACCGCAUAACAGUUUAUGCCGCAUGGCAUAAGAGUGAAGGGCGCUUUCGGGUGUCGAUGAUGGAUGGACCCGCGGUGCAUUAGCUAGUUGGUGAGGUAACGGCUCACCAAGGCCACGAUGCAUAGCCGACCUGAGAGGGUGAUCGGCCACACUGGAACUGAGACACGGCCCAGACUCCUACGGGAGGCAGCAGUAGGGAAUCUUCGGCAAUGGACGAAAGUCUGACCGAGCAACGCCGCGUGAGUGAAGAAGGUUUUCGGAUCGUAAAACUCUGUUGUUAGAGAAGAACAAGGACGUUAGUAACUGAACGUCCCCUGACGGUAUCUAACCAGAAAGCCACGGCUAACUACGUG
rnacentral:rRNA from 1 species